GAUGAAGAACGCAGCGAAAUGCGAUAAGUAGUGUGAAUUGCAGAAUUCAGUGAAUCAUCGAAUCUUUGAACGCACAUUGCGCCCCUUGGUAUUCCAUGGGGCAUGCCUGUUCGAGCGUCAUUAUAACCACUCAAGCUCUCGCUUGGUAUUGGAGUUCGCGAUCUCGCGGCUCCUAAAAUCAGUGGCGGUGCCUGUCGGCUCUACGCGUAGUAAUACUCCUCGCGAUUGAGUCCGGUAGGUUUACUUGCCAGCAACCCCCAAUUUUUACAGGUUGACCUCGGAUCAGGUAGGGAUACCCGCUGAACUUAAGCAUAUCAAUAAGCGGAGGA
rnacentral:misc_RNA from 1 species